AUCCCAUGAUGAGGGUACUUCCAUAAUAACUCUUUGAAUCUCUCCCAUGUUUCAUACAAUGAUUCCCUACCUGCCUGUUGGAUUGAGGUAAUGUCGUAUCAGCUU
rfam:Morus notabilis contig24598, whole genome shotgun sequence.